UACGAAGGGUGCUAGCGUUGUUCGGAAUUACUGGGCGUAAAGCGCGCGUAGGCGGCUUGUCAAGUCAGGGGUGAAAUCCUGGGGCUUAACCCCAGAAUUGCCUUUGAAACUGUCAAGCUGGAGUGUCGGAGGGGAUAGCGGAAUUGCUAAUGUAGAGGUGAAAUUCGUAGAUAUUAGCAGGAACACCGGUGGCGAAGGCGGCUAUCUGGACGACAACUGACGCUGAGGCGCGAAAGCGUGGGGAU
rnacentral:rRNA from 1 species